rnacentral:misc_RNA from 1 species
GAAAUGCGAUAAGUAAUGUGAAUUGCAGAAUUCAGUGAAUCAUCGAAUCUUUGAACGCACAUUGCGCCCGCCAGCACUCUGGCGGGCAUGCCUGUUCGAGCGUCAUUUCAACCCUCAGAACCCCUUGCGGGAUCUGGCGUUGGGGAUUGGCAUCCAGCCGGCCCCGAAAUCUAGUGGCGGUCCCUCCGCGACCUCCCCUGUGCAGUAGCGAUACCUCGCAGCGGGACAGCGGUCUGACCACGCCGUAAAACCCCCAACUUCUCAAGGUUGACCUCGAAUCAGGUAGGAAUACCCGCUCAACUUAAGC